AUAAAGGAUCUCAUAAGAUCCACAUCAGUGAAACCGUUAAAAUCAUU
rfam:Cephalotus follicularis DNA, scaffold: scaffold4225, isolate: St1.